rnacentral:rRNA from 1 species
CCUACGGGGUGCAGCAGUGGGGAAUAUUGCACAAUGGGGGAAACCCUGAUGCAGUGACGCCGCGUGAGCGAGGAAGUAUUUCGGUAUGUAAAGCUCUAUCAGCAGGGACGAAAAAAGACGGUACCUGACUAAGAAGCCUCGGCUAACUACGGGCCAGCAGCCGCGGGAAUACGGAGGGGGCAAGCGUUAUCCGGAUUUACGGGGCGUAAAGGGAGCGUAGACGGCAAGGCAAGCCAGAAGUGAAAGGGCAGGGCUCAACCCUGUAAAUGCUUUUGAAACUGUGGUGGUGGAGUGCGGGAGAGGAUAGCGGAAUUCCUGGUGUAGCGGUGAAAUGCGUAGAUAUUAGGAGGAACACCAGUGGCGAAGGCGACUAACUGGACUGUAACUGACGUUGAGGCUCGAAAGCGUGGGGAGCAAACAGGAUUAGAUACCCGGGUAGUC